rnacentral:lncRNA from 1 species
AUUUAUAAUCUCAAAAUUAAAGUUUAUAAUUUUAAAUUUUAAAUUUAAAUUUUAAUAUUUUAAAUUUUUGAAAUUUAAAUUUUGAAAUUUUAUAUUUUUUUAAAUUUAAAUUUGAUCUUAAUUAAAGUUUGAAAUGUAAAAUCUAAAUUUUUAAAUUUAAAAUUUGAAAUUUGAAAUUUUAGAUUUUAAUUUCAAAUUUUGAAAAUUUAAAGUUAAAAUUUUAAAUUUAAAAAUAUAAAUUUAAAAUUUUAAAAUUUAAAUUCAAAUAUAAUAAGAGGGCAAUAUUAUUAUUUUUUAUUUAUAAAAAUUGAAUAUUCUUCUUAUUCCAUCUUACCUAACCAAACGUUAUUUUUUUUAUUCCCAAAAAUAACCCAAUUUUUAUCCAAACGCAAAAUUGAUCUAAUCCCCGGUUAUACCUCAAUUUAUACUUAUCCCUGAAAUAGCCACUUUUUUUUUAUCCAUGAACCAAACGAUACCUAAGAGGUUGGUAGUUCAAUUCUCACAUGUAUAGUUUGAAAAUGGGAUCUCAAGUUCCUACCUUUUUUGGCAAGAAAAAUGCUAGCUUGAUAUAUACCACAAAAGGAGGUGUAAAGUUUAUUCUCCAUCAUCAAGGAUUCACAAAUUCCUUUUGAUUUUUAAUAUUUUUUUUAAAAUAAUUUGACAAGACAAGCAUAAAAAAUUGAUCUUCGAACGAAAGAGUGCAAGAUUUACACCUUUUUGGAGUGUACAUAGAGCAUUGCUUAUUGCGCAAUAAAUUAAAUAAGAGUAUAUUACACUUUUUGUCCUCAAACUAUGAGGCGCAUAACAUUUUGGUACUCCAAACUUUAAUUUAUUAUAAUUUACAUUUGUACAUUCUGAAUAGCUGCAGUUGAAUACCAUAAUUUAAUUUACUUGACUAAAUAUUGACAAAUUAUUGAUGUCGAAAUAAUAUAAAAAUACCAGAUAAAAAAAUGACAAGAUACAAAUAUUGGCCCACUAAAAAAAAAACGAUCUAUCUAUAAAUAAAUAUAUAAUUUAAGAAUUGGGUCACAUCAAUAAAACCAUCCCUCAUAAAACCACGUCUCCUUUUAAA